rnacentral:rRNA from 1 species
CCUGGCGGCUUUAGCGCGGUGGUCCACCUGACCCCAUGCCGAACUCAGAAGUGAAACGCCGUAGCGCCGAUGGUAGUGUGGGGUCUCCCCAU